UACAGAGAGUGCAAGCGUUAAUCGGAAUUACUGGGCGUAAAGCGCACGUAGGUGGAUAUUUAAGUCGGAUGUGAAAUCCCUGGGCUUAACUCAGGAAUUGCAUUCGAUACUGGGUAUCUAGAGUAUAGUAGAGGGAGGUGGAAUUUCCGGUGUAGCGGUGAAAUGCGUAGAUAUCGGAAAGAACAUCAGUGGCGAAGGCGGCCUCCUGGACUAAUACUGACACUUAGGUGCGAAAGCGUGGGGAGCAAACAGG
rnacentral:rRNA from 1 species